GACGAACGCUGGCGGCGUGCUUAACACAUGCAAGUCGAACGGAAAGGCCCUGCUUUUGUGGGGUGCUCGAGUGGCGAACGGGUGAGUAACACGUGAGUAACCUGCCCUUGACUUUGGGAUAACUUCAGGAAACUGGGGCUAAUACCGGAUAGGAGCUCCUGCUGCAUGGUGGGGGUUGGAAAGUUUCGGCGGUUGGGGAUGGACUCGCGGCUUAUCAGCUUGUUGGUGGGGUAGUGGCUUACCAAGGCUUUGACGGGUAGCCGGCCUGAGAGGGUGACCGGCCACAUGGGGACUGAGAUAGGGCCCAGACUCCUACGGGAGGCAGCAGUGGGGAAUAUUGCACAAGGGGCGGAAGCCUGAUGCAGCAACGCCGCGUGCGGGAUGACGGCCUUCGGGUUGUAAACCGCUUUCGCCUGUGACGAAGCGUGAGUGACGGUAAUGGGUAAAGAAGCACCGGCUAACUACGUG
rnacentral:rRNA from 1 species